AUUCAGAAAGAAGUAGGAGGGCUUCAGGGAUUCAGCGGAGGAGACUGAAAGCCUGAGAGACGAUGCCUCUGAGAAGGUUACAGACCUUGGGAGAAAGCGCUUUCACCUCCUCACCACAGACACUCUCGACUGUGGACUCAGGACACUAAGCCAGAAAGCUCUCACCAUGGGGCAGCAAUGUGGAUUUAGUAAGCAUAGCCCACGGGCACUCAUUUUGAAGACACUAGGAGAACUUCAAAGCCAGUUUUGGAUCUGCAGGACUGGCUUCUUCACGUACUCCAGCAGUUCAUUGAUGGGAUAGACGUGGGGUGGGCUAACUCAAAGCCCUGGAUCUGGGCCUGAGAGGUGUCUGAGCUGCUCAGCCCACCAGCUCUCCAGUUCUUGUGGCCUUUGGAUUGGCUCGCCAGCAACCCCCUCUCCCAGGGCUAGCUCUCCUGGCUGACCAGGAACCUGACAAGACUGACUAGCCAUCUCUAGCAUUCAGAUAGGUGGAACUUCAUUGUGCUGAAGUUAUGUUUGAGCACCCUCUGCUGGACAAAUCAGGAGAAGGCAGCAGCUGGCAUCAAUGGUGUGGUGAGGAGAGAAUCAAGUUUCCUUCUCCAGUUCAAACAGACGAAAGUGAAGCGACAUAGGCUCAAGGACAGGGUCACUGGGCUAGCGCCACACCAUGGAGCCAAACCCCGAGCCUUCUAAAUUGUGAGCUGGGCAUGGUGGUUCACCCCAGGAAUCGCAGCACUGAGGGAUGAAGGCGAGAGAGUCACUGUGGGUGUGACAUCAGUCUGGCCUGAAGUCUGAGACUGUUUUUUUAAAAAGAAAACAUUUUUUUAUGUCAUAUAUUUAAUUAUAUAAAGAUUCUGUUGUUUUGUUGUUGUUGUUGUUAAAA
rnacentral:lncRNA from 1 species